AUUGAACGCUGGCGGCAUGCCUUACACAUGCAAGUCGAACGGUAACAGGUCUUCGGAUGCUGACGAGUGGCGAACGGGUGAGUAAUACAUCGGAACGUGCCCGAGAGUGGGGGAUAACGAGGCGAAAGCUUUGCUAAUACCGCAUACGAUCUCGGGAUGAAAGCAGGGGACCGCAAGGCCUUGCGCUCACGGAGCGGCCGAUGGCAGAUUAGGUAGUUGGUGGGAUAAAAGCUUACCAAGCCGACGAUCUGUAGCUGGUCUGAGAGGACGACCAGCAACACUGGGACUGAGACACGGCCCAGACUCCUACGGGAGGCAGCAGUGGGGAAUUUUGGACAAUGGGCGCAAGCCUGAUCCAGCCAUGCCGCGUGCAGGAUGAAGGCCUUCGGGUUGUAAACUUCUUUUAUAAGGGACGAAAAAAGGUCUUUCUAGAUCGUCUGACGGUACCUUAUGAAUAAGCACCGGCUAACUCCGUGCCAGCCGCCGCGGUAACAC
rnacentral:rRNA from 1 species